UACGAAGGGGGGCUAGCGUUGCUCGGAAUGACUGGGCGUAAAGGGCGCGUAGGCGGCUUGCACCGUCAGAUGUGAAAUUCCUGGGCUUAACCUGGGGGGCUGCAUUUGAUACGUGUGGGCUUGAGUGCGGAAGAGGGUCGUGGAAUUCCCAGUGUAGAGGUGAAAUUCGUAGAUAUUGGGAAGAACACCGGUGGCGAAAGCGGCUCUCUGGGGACCUCUGACGCUGAGGCGCGAAAGCGUGGGGAGCGAACCGG
rnacentral:rRNA from 1 species